CCACGGAGUUCAGUUCUUAAG
rnacentral:miRNA from 8 species